ACCGUCUUUGUCUUGGGGUUGAGAGCAUGUCCGAGGAACGUUAAGUGAGGACAUGACUGCUGACGCCAUUAAUAAAACAGCGCAUCGCCUGACGUAACUGUCGGGUUAGGGUGCAAUUUUUGGUACC